GAUGAACGCUGGCGGCGUGCCUAAUACAUGCAAGUCGAGCGAACAGACGAGGAGCUUGCUCCUCUGACGUUAGCGGCGGACGGGUGAGUAACACGUGGAUAACCUACCUAUAAGACUGGGAUAACUUCGGGAAACCGGAGCUAAUACCGGAUAAUAUAUUGAACCGCAUGGUUCAAUAGUGAAAGACGGUUUCGCUGUCACUUAUAGAUGGAUCCGCGCCGCAUUAGCUAGUUGGUAAGGUAACGGCUUACCAAGGCAACGAUGCGUAGACGACCUGAGAGGGUGAUCGGCCACCCUGUAACUGAGACACGGUCCAGACUCCUACGGGAGGCAGCAGUAGGGAAUCUUCCGCAAUGGGCGAAAGCCUGACGGAGCAACGCCGCGUGAGUGAUGAAGGUCUUCGGAUCGUAAAACUCUGUUAUUAGGGAAGAACAAAUGUGUAAGUAACUAUGCACGUCUUGACGGUACCUAAUCAGAAAGCCACGGCUAACUACGUG
rnacentral:rRNA from 1 species